rnacentral:tRNA from 1 species
GGUCCAUUGGCGCAGUUGGCUAGCGCGCUUGCAUGACACGCAAGAGGUCACUGGUUCAAAUCCAGUAUGGACCA